ensembl:snRNA U2 U2 spliceosomal RNA
AUUGCUUCUUGGCCUUUUGGCUAAGAUCAAGUGUAGUGGAUGACAAUUGAUGAAUCAAAUCUAAAUUUUCUUCAUUCUCUUCAAGGGGUUUAUAAAUAUACAUUUGUCAAAAAGAAAACCACAGGCCCAAAAUGGAGUCAUUUAUACUAGGCCACAUCAAC